rnacentral:rRNA from 1 species
CCUACGGGAGGCAGCAGUGGGGAAUAUUGGACAAUGGGGGAAACCCUGAUCCAGCGACGCCGCGUGUGUGAAGAAGGCCUGCGGGUUGUAAAGCACUUUUAGUGGGGACAUUUAACUCACAGAAAAAGCACCGGCUAACUCUGUGCCAGCAGCCGCGGUAAUACAGAGGGUGCGAGCGUUAAUCGGAAUUACUGGGCGUAAAGCGCGCGUAGACGGUUUGGUAAGUCAGAUGUGAAAUCCCCGGGCUCAACCUGGGAACUGCAUUUGAUACUGCCUGGCUAGAGUAUCGAAGAGGGAAGUGGAAUUUCCGGUGUAGCGGUGAAAUGCGUAGAUAUCGGAAGGAACACCAGUGGCGAAAGCGACUUCCUGGUCGAAACUGACGUUCAUGUGCGAAAGCGUGGGGAGCAAACAGGAUUAGAUACCCUUGUAGUC